UCAAUGAACCAAUAGCUGUUGGUGCAUCAGUUGAUGAGUCCGUGCGAGUUCGUUCAAACCGACCGGAAUACUCUCCGGAGUUUGAGCAGGCAUGGCUGGCAUAUCCCAAACGUGCUGGUGGCAAUUCAAAAUCUGCAGCCUUCAAAGCCUGGAAAGCCCGUUUGAAUGAGGGAGUAAACCCCGAAACCAUGCUGGAAGGUGUGAAACGCUACGCGGGCUGGGUAUCUGCGAUGGGUAACAGCGGCACACAAUUUGUGAAACAGGCUGUCACGUUCUUUGGUCCGGAUCGUCAUUUCGAAGAAUCCUGGGAAGUUCCUGCGGUAUCUGCAGCCAGACGUGAGGACCCGUACUUCAAAGCCAGUUACGACAACGUGGACUACAGCCAGAUCCCGGCAGGAUUCAGGGGGUGAUCAUGAGUCUUUUGAAUGAAGUUCAGAAAUUCAUUGAAGCCCAUCCGGGGUGUACUUCCGGAGACAUUGCGGAUGCUUUUGCAGGUUACUCACGGCAGCGCGUUCUGCAGUCAGCAAGCAAGUUACGUCAGAGUGGGCGUGUGGCUCACCGUUGUGAAGGAGAUACACGCAGACAUUUCCCACGCCUGACUGAGAGAGCGCAGGAGCCGGAACCACAACCAGUUCGUGAAACCAAACCUGUGCGCAAUUUCUAUGUCGGCACUAACGAUCCCCGGGUGAUUUUGUGCCUGACCCGCCAGGCUGAAGAGCUGGAGUCCAGGGGGUUAUACCGUCGUGCUGCAACGGUGUGGAUGGCGGCAUUCCGAGAAAGCCACUCCCAGCCAGAACGAAACAAUUUUCUGGCGCGUCGUGAGCAGUGCUUACGGAAAAGCAGCAAGCGAGCUGUAUCGGGUGAUGAGUGGUAUCUGUCAGGGAAUUACGUGGGGGCUUAAUGAGUAAUAAAUAUUGCCAGGAGCUGGUGGAACUGCGGAACAAACCAGCCCAUGAACUGAAGGAAGUGGGUGAUCAGUGGCGCACGCCGGACAACAUUUUCUGGGGAAUUAACACCCUGUUUGGCCCGUUUGUUCUGGAUCUGUUCACUGACGGUGAUAACGCCAAAUGUGCCGCGUAUUACACGGCGGAAGACAACGCGCUNGUUGGGUAGGGGAGCGUUCUGUAAGCCUGUGAAGGUGGCCUGUGAGGGUUGCUGGAGGUAUCAGAAGUGCGAAUGCUGACAUAAGUAACGAUAAAGCGGGUGAAAAGCCCGCUCGCCGGAAGACCAAGGGUUCCUGUCCAACGUUAAUCGGGGCAGGGUGAGUCGACCCCUAAGGCGAGGCCGAAAGGCGUAGUCGAUGGGAAACGGGUUAAUAUUCCCGUACUUGGUGUUACUGCGAAGGGGGGACGGAGAAGGCUAUGUUGGCCGGGCGACGGUUGUCCCGGUUUAAGCGUGUAGGUGUGUGUUCCAGGUAAAUCCGGUUCACUUUAACACUGAGGCGUGAUGACGAGGCACUACGGUGCUGAAGCAACAAAUGCCCUGCUUCCAGGAAAAGCCUCUAAGCAUCAGGUAACAUCAAAUCGUACCCCAAACCGACACAGGUGGUCAGGUAGAGAAUACCAAGGCGCUUGAGAGAACUCGGGUGAAGGAACUAGGCAAAAUGGUGCCGUAACUUCGGGAGAAGGCACGCUGACAUGUAGGUGAAGUGAUUUACUCAUGGAGCUGAAGUCAGUCGAAGAUACCAGCUGGCUGCAACUGUUUAUUAAAAACACAGCACUGUGCAAACACGAAAGUGGACGUAUACGGUGUGACGCCUGCCCGGUGCCGGAAGGUUAAUUGAUGGGGUCAGCGCAAGCGAAGCUCCUGAUCGAAGCCCCGGUAAACGGCGGCCGUAACUAUAACGGUCCUAAGGUAGCGAAAUUCCUUGUCGGGUAAGUUCCGACCUGCACGAAUGGCGUAAUGAUGGCCAGGCUGUCUCCACCCGAGACUCAGUGAAAUUGAACUCGCUGUGAAGAUGCAGUGUACCCGCGGCAAGACGGAAAGACCCCGUGAACCUUUACUAUAGCUUGACACUGAACAUUGAGCCUUGAUGUGUAGGAUAGGUGGGAGGCUUUGAAGCGUGGACGCCAGUCUGCAUGGAGCCGGCCUUGAAAUACCACCCUUUAAUGUUUGAUGUUCUAACGUGGACCCGUGAUCCGGGUUGCGGACAGUGUCUGGUGGGUAGUUUGACUGGGGCGGUCUCCUCCUAAAGAGUAACGGAGGAGCACGAAGGUUGGCUAAUCCUGGUCGGACAUCAGGAGGUUAGUGCAAUGGCAUAAGCCAGCUUGACUGCGAGCGUGACGGCGCGAGCAGGUGCGAAAGCAGGUCAUAGUGAUCCGGUGGUUCUGAAUGGAAGGGCCAUCGCUCAACGGAUAAAAGGUACUCCGGGGAUAACAGGCUGAUACCGCCCAAGAGUUCAUAUCGACGGCGGUGUUUGGCACCUCGAUGUCGGCUCAUCACAUCCUGGGGCUGAAGUAGGUCCCAAGGGUAUGGCUGUUCGCCAUUUAAAGUGGUACGCGAGCUGGGUUUAGAACGUCGUGAGACAGUUCGGUCCCUAUCUGCCGUGGGCGCUGGAGAACUGAGGGGGGCUGCUCCUAGUACGAGAGGACCGGAGUGGACGCAUCACUGGUGUUCGGGUUGUCAUGCCAAUGGCACUGCCCGGUAGCUAAAUGCGGAAGAGAUAAGUGCUGAAAGCAUCUAAGCACGAAACUUGCCCCGAGAUGAGUUCUCCCUGAGACUUAAAGUCUCCUGAAGGAACGUUGAAGACGACGACGUUGAUAGGCCGGGUGUGUAAGCGCAGCGAUGCGUUGAGCUAACCGGUACUAAUGAACCGUGAGGCUUAACC
rnacentral:rRNA from 1 species